UCUGCAUAGUCAGACUCAGCCGCCUCAGACAGUUCACCCUCAGUGAGACGAAGGUCAAUUCGACAGAAGCACAGACGAACUGCCAGAAGAGCUCUUCUGAUCCAGUCACUGUGUACAACCAGGAGGAUUACGAGCAGCUGAUACAGUUAAUGACAUCUGACAACAUCGAUCGUGCCUGGAUAGGUCUGCAUCGCACACAGCCCAGUCUGGUGUGGUCUAAUGGAGACCCUGUUAAUGACACUGCAUGGUCACCUCCUAAUUACACAAAUCCAAACUGUGUAGCAAUCAACCCUAAUGUAACAUGGGAGAUAUGUUUUCAAGAGGAAAACUUCAUGUGUUAUAAAAAAUGGGUCCGUGAUCCAACCCUUAAUACACUCUGGUGACGGAGAUGAAGACCUGGUAUGAUGCUCAGAGUUACUGCAGAGAGAAUUAUACUGACCUGGUCAGCAUCACGAACGAGGAGAGAAGGAGGAGGUGAAGAAUAAAGGAGAAACAGUACUACUCCUUACUGGAUCGCCUGCUGUAUGAUGACUGGGAAUGGGGCGAUGGAGGGAGAUCAGCCUACAGAAACUGGCUCAAAUUAAACUUAGUUCAGAUAUCUACUACUAUCCAGAAGCCAGGAGAAGCUGUACCAGUGCUGAUGCUAACCGGUAUGCUGACUGUACCGCCGGGAAAUGAAGACACGUACACUUUCUGCUCUAAGGAAUCAUUCCACCUAAUCAAUGAAACAAAGACCUGGGAGCAAGCUCUGGACUACUGCAAUAAGAAUUACCACGGACUGCUUAGGUU